GACGAACGCUGGCGGCGUGCUUAACACAUGCAAGUCGAACGGAAAGGCCCUUCGGGGUACUCGAGUGGCGAACGGGUGAGUAACACGUGGGUGAUCUGCCCUGCACUUUGGGAUAAGCCUGGGAAACUGGGUCUAAUACCGAAUAGGACCACGCGCUUCAUGGUGUGUGGUGGAAAGCUUUUGCGGUGUGGGAUGGGCCCGCGGCCUAUCAGCUUGUUGGUGGGGUAAUGGCCUACCAAGGCGACGACGGGUAGCCGGCCUGAGAGGGUGACCGACCACACUGGGACUGAGAUACGGCCCAGACUCCUACGGGAGGCAGCAGUGGGGAAUAUUGCACAAUGGGCGCAAGCCUGAUGCAGCGACGCCGCGUGAGGGAUGACGGCCUUCGGGUUGUAAACCUCUUUCAAUAGGGACGAAGCGCAAGUGACGGUACCUAUAGAAGAAGCACCGGCCAACUACGUG
rnacentral:rRNA from 1 species